rnacentral:lncRNA from 1 species
ACAUGUGUUUCUUAUUCAGAAUAGCUUUUUGUUUUGUUUGUUUUAACUUGUGAGGCUUCUUCACUACUCAGGGACGAAAGAAAGAGGAAAGAAUGGAAAAAGUGAAACUACAGAACAGAAAUUGUGCAACUUCCAGAAAACUGCUCUAAGACAAGCAAGAAGGCAGACCUGCUAAAUGCCCAUUAUGACACUAUUUGACUAAACAGGUUUGAAAUACUCUGGCAUAAAAUGAAGGCCAUCCCCUAAUGGUUUGUUCUUGGUGUUGGACAAAUCAUAAAAGGACCAGACAUUGCUGUGAUGAAUUAUAUGCCCUGGAGAGAGGCAGAAAGUGAUUACACCACCUUCAUUUGCACAUGGAAAGGAAGGCAAGAGUCCACCUGAUACAACACUGAUUUUUGAGACUGAAUUUUAUGCUGUGACCAGAGGACCACUGAACCAUUUAAACAGAAAGACACCAUGACAGACAACUCUCUAAAACAGAGCUAAUCACUACCUAAAAGAGAAGUUUUAAAAAGAUGAGAAGCCAUGUGACAAGUCAUAUCAGAAUGCAGUUUUAGCAGUUUUAGAAGAUAUUUUAAAGAAAAAUGAUCAUGAUGGUGACAGUUUCAUUUCUUUUAAGGAAUACAAUGCAUAUCAACAUUAUGAACUA